ensembl:lncRNA LINC00951 long intergenic non-protein coding RNA 951
GUCACCAUGUGAAGAAGAUCCUUGCUUCCCCUUCACCUUCUGCCAUGAUUUUAAGUUUCUUGAGGCCUCCCCAGCCAUGUGGAACUGUAAGAUGAAGUAAACACAUGGCAGCCUCUCUCUCCCACUGACGAUACAACCUUGAUAGAGGGCAUGGUGGAGCUAAUUGAAUGAUCCGAACAGUAAAUACCAGCAAGUAGAUGGGUGAAAACAGCCAGGAUUCCAAGUACCACAAAACUGGUGUUGAGUUGUGCACACUUUUUCCUCUGGAAUCUCUUGAGCAGAACUCAGCAUGACCUGAAACCCAGGAGUGAGCCGCACAGUGCCGACAAUGAGAUGCAGAAGAAAACCUCUGGUUCUGGCUGAAGCAGUGGACAAGGAGACUCUUGAAACUCAGAGCCUGGGGGCACCCCUGAUAGUGUUCUUUACUUUCUCUCCCUUCUCACAUUCCAGCCACCAGAGAAUGCAAGAGAGGAGUAGCAGUGGCAGUAAAUGUGGCAUCAACAACAACAACAAAAAGCAGGGACUAGGACUCUGAGGAAGGGAAGCCUAUAUUCUGGCCUCAGGGUGCUCUUUCUUCCUGCCUAGGGGUCAUAUACCACCUGUGGGCACCUCAGGACUCCUGACAACCUCACUUUUACCUGUUGCCUUUUUAGCCCAGGAUCAGUAGGUAUGGGGGUGCACAUGCUCUUGAGGACACAGCAGCUGUCACAUCAGGGAACCCGACUCCAGAACCCUCUGUAAAUAUCCCAUGGCUUGGCCCUGCCCAUCACCCCACCCAGGCCUCCUCAAAUGAGGAGCUAAAGCUGGCCCAUGGGGCCAAAGUGCAGAGGGUAGGGAUAAUGAGCCACUGGCCUUCUAGAACCUGGCAUGGUCCCUGAGUCAGCCAUGACACAGGCAGGGGAGGAGGGUGGGGCUGGGAUAAAGCUGGAUCUCAAGGGAGUUAGAUUUGUUCAGCCUAGGGGAGGGGAGCAGAGGAGAUGCUCUAAGAUGUGGCUUUACCAAAUGUUUCAAGGACACGGAUGGACCAAGCAAUGGCACCUGUGAUGAAAGAUUGAAGCCCAGGAGGUGGGGCUCCUGCUAAUCUCACUUGACUAUUGUAAGGCUCCACAAAAAGCAAGGUUCUUAGCAAUGUAGAUGGGGCUUUAUGGGUAGGAAAGGGAGAAACUGGUAUUUCUUUACGCAACUUCUGCUAAGCACCUCAUAUGUGCUAUGAUAACUAAUCCUCACUAAGCCCAUGACACAAAGAUUCAUGUUUUAGAUGAACAAGCUAAGAUAUAAAAAAGUUAAACAAGAGACAUCCAAGGUCACAGUCCUAGUAAGGGACAGGGCUGAGUAAGCCUUCAGUAAAUAUAUUCUCCUACCCCAGUAUAAAACCCAGAAAAGUCUUUAAUGUCCCAAGUCACGGAUCCUAACACAUGGGCCAUGAACUUUAGAACACAGAGCCCAGCAGCAAUGUGAGGGAGACGUAGAAAUCAAAACAACUCACAUUUAGUAACUUGCUGAAUGCUAGACAGUCUUCCCCAUGUUGUGAGAAAUGAAAGAACAUAGCCCCAUGACUUUGAGGUCUUUACAAGCCUCCCUGAAGAACUAGCUUCUCGAGCUGACAGACAGGCAUGUUUUCACAAAUUUACCAGGUACCUGUGACUCUGAGGAACACACCGCCUGGGCAAGGAUGGAUUGGCCAGAAAAUCACUCAGUCCAAGGUAGUUCUUACAGCCAGAAGAAUUCACGGGUGCUCUUAGUGGUUCUCAGACCUGCUUGUCUCAUUUAUUGAAGCUCAACUAAUGCCUUGAAGGGGAAGAAAUUAGCUUUCCAUCCAGUUAGGAAUGACUGUUGUGGCCUGGCGCAGUGGCUCACGCCUGUAAUCCCAGCACUUUGGGAGGAUGAGGCGGGAGGAUCACGAGGUCAGGAGUUCAAGACCAGCCUGGCCAAUAUGGUGAAACCCCAUCUCACUAAAA